rnacentral:rRNA from 1 species
CCUACGGGAGGCAGCAGUGGGGAAUAUUGGGCAAUGGAGGAAACUCUGACCCAGCGACGCCGCGUGCGGGAUGAAGGCCUUCGGGUUGUAAACCGCUUUCAGUAGGGAAGAAGCGAAAGUGACGGUACCUACAGAAGAAGCACCGGCUAACUAUGUGCCAGCAGCCGCGGUAAUACAUAGGGUGCAAGCGUUGUCCGGAAUUAUUGGGCGUAAAGAGCUCGUAGGUGGUUCGUCACGUCGGAUGUGAAAAUCUGGGGCUCAACCCCAGACCUGCAUUCGAUACGGGCGAUCUAGAGUGUGGUAGGGGAGACUGGAAUUCCUGGUGUAGCGGUGGAAUGCGCAGAUAUCAGGAGGAACACCAAUGGCGAAGGCAGGUCUCUGGGCCAUUACUGACACUGAGGAGCGAAAGCGUGGGGAGCGAACAGGAUUAGAUACCCUGGUAGUCCACGCCGUAAACGGUGGGCACUAGUUGUGGGAACCUUCCACGGUUUCUGCGACGCAGCUAACGCAUUAAGUGCCCCGCCUGGGGAGUACGAUCGCAAGAUUAAAACUUAAAGGAAAUUGACGG